rnacentral:tRNA from 1 species
GGAAGGGUAGCGAAGAGGCUAAACGCGGCGGACUGUAAAUCCGCUCCUUCGGGUUCGGGGGUUCGAAUCCCUCCCUUCCA